ensembl:lncRNA
GCCUGUUACUCCAGGGCUGUGACAGCGCAGGAGUGCGGAGACUGAGAUGGCACAGGAGAGGCCGAGAAGAGCUACCCCACAUCCAAGGUCAGGGGUGGCAGCCGACAGGAGCUACCCCAUGUCCAAGAGAAAAUAGCAGCCACCCAUUUCUGCAUCUGGGCUGUAUCCACACACCUGGUUCUCUGAAGUUAAAGUUUGUCUGUCACCGGGACUUUGCUCCCAGCUCUCUGUUACCCAGGGAAAGCAUGGAAAUGGUGUCACCACAGAUGUUUCCUGGGAAGAGCAAGAGAACCACAGGAAAUCUCAUAGGGACACAGGCAAGACUGGGAUGCUCCUGGAUUCUGAACUUAAGAAGAUAGGACAUAAACAAAAACAUUGCAAAGAUGGAAAAUUAAGAGCUGUUGUAAUGGUGUGCUAGAUCUGGCUCUUAGAGUAGAUUAAAUUUUAGAGAGUAGAUAAUUUUGUGCUAUUAAUGCGUAUGUGGUCUAGGUGCUUAGUUGGUAAGUUGUUUCUGACUCCUUGCAACCCCAGGGACUA